AAACAGACUUCUCAGUUCAUAACCCAACGCAAGCAUUUUUUUUGGGUGAUUCUCCUCUUCUCUGAACUCAAGCAAAUUUUUUUUUUUGGUGAUUCUCCUCUUCUCCUCUUCUCCAAAAUAAAUCAUCCACAAGCUAGACUAGUGCCUUUCUUUGAAGAAAACUUGGCUGGGAUUCUUGUUCUUUAUACUUGGAAGUUUCAAGUGGAAGAAAAUAAGCUCAAAAUCCAGGUUUUAUUGUUCUUUGUUAAUUAGUUUUAUUGUUUUUUAUUGUGUUGUGUUUAUUAUAAAAAUUAAAAAAUAUUUCCUAAGAAACAACUUUCUGGAAAUCUCAAGAGACAAAGAAAGAAAGAAGAAGAAGAAAUUGCUCAAAGUUUAAGAGGAUCUUUGAAUAAAUAUUUUGUUAAACAAACCAAUGCUUCACUUGAAAAUUUAGAUGAAGAUUUACCAAAUGAAUAUGAACAACCAAUUCAAUUGGAAGAAUUAGUAGAAAAUGAGAAUGAUGUGAAUGAAGAAAUUGG